AGAGGGGGAAGGUUGGUCUUCUGAGCCAGGAGACCAGCACCUAGGGCAGGCUUGUGGGAGCAGAAGGGAACUCCAGUCUGGUACCUGCCAGGCUGCAGGCCCUGAGGGAAGGGCCUAGCUGGUGCAAAGAGGCUGAAGGGGAAGUGGCCCAGGGACAGAAGUGUACAAGGGAAGAGAAGGAGGGUAGGAAGGCUGCCACCAAAGGGUCCCUGGGUUGGGACCCAGUGUAGAGGAUGGGCCUGGGUCCCCUGCCUUCCCCUUUGCAUGAACACCCAGCCAGUGGAUGUGGUGAUAGUGGACUGCACUAGACCUCUGACACUAGGGGUUAGACUUUGGGGUGUGGUUGACCACAGUGGCUGGGGCACAGAGAAGGACUGCUGAUAACACUAGACCCCUGGAAGGGGGUGAGAUUGGAGCAGUGGGCACUGCUGGAGGGCAGUGUCCUGAAGAGGAUGCUGCUGAGUGGGAAGCAAUGUGGGUCCAGACAACAACAAAGGAGCAGAGGAUGGAUGGGACACUACCAGCAGUGGGUGCCCCACCAUGGACUGAGCUAAUUCCUGGAAGUAACCAUUUUAACCAUGGUGGGCUAUGCUGUAUGCAACUUCCAAGAGGCUAGAUGUAAGAAACUUCAAGGUCAUCCCUACUUUGUUUGUAAUUGCAAGGGCAGAAUGCUGCCUUCAUCUGAAAGGAAGAGAAACAAUGGAUGACUGUGUUACUGAAGUAGGAAAUGCCUGCUGCACAAUGCCACAGCUCUUCUGAAAGUCCGUCCUCUUCGCUGUCUCUAAAAGCCCUGUGAGACUGAAAACAGAUUUGUCUGUUCUUUGUCAGAUAGCAAAAGGGGGGGCCUCUGACUCCGACAAAAGCUUGGUAAAUCGUUAAUCAUUUAUACAGUGCUGUAGACCUAUGAAGCAUUGCACACAGGGAAAAUGUGCCCAACAAAUCACAGAAGGUAAAAUUUUCAAAAGUGUAGUUAGGUUAAGUCAAGUCUGAAAAUGGGACAUGAGUGUUUUGAAAACUUGCCGGCAGUAUUUGUCCUAGUCUAUAUGCAAAAGGGAUGACAGAAAAGAGGAUAAACUUAGAGCUAUUUUAACUUCCAGGAUCAUGAAGGGCUGGACUGAGGUAGCCAUGGAUGGGAACAUCUCACAACUCCUUUCCAGUUUGAAAAAUAAGGAUGGGAACUGAAUCUCAUAGCAUGUGGGCUGAACACCUUUAACAUCAGAGAAAUGUGCAUGUGGACAAAUAUUAGAGCAUAAUUCACAUUUGGGUUUGGAGAUUGUUAGGACAGAGCAGGGUCUGACUUGCCCUUUGAUCUCAGCAUGCUCAAAUGUUUCUCCUACUAUGUAUAGUGGGGAAGAAUGAAGAAUCCACUCUCUCCUCAAGACCAUCUCUGACCCUAGAGGAGUUUUAUAGCUAAUUACCCCAUCUCUGCAUAUGUAGGGGAAAGGUUAACUUUGUUUUCCAAUGACACAACUGAUGGUCCUGUUAAAUUCCUCACCCUAUCAUCUCAAUGUGAGGGGGCGAGAAUAGCUCAGGGCAUGUCUACUCUACAAAUGCCCCAGCAGCACAGCUGGGGCACAGCAGCUCUGCUGCUAUAGUGUAGACUCUUGCUACAGCAAUGGAAGGGGUUUUUGGUUGUAUUUAAACCACCCCUUGAGAGGUGGUAGGUAGGUUAAGGGAAGAAGUCUUCUGUUGACGUAGCUGCAUCUAUAGUGGGAGUGAGGUUGACCUAUCUGUUCCACAGGGCAAGACACUUUUCACAAUCCUGGGUGAAGCAGCUAGGUUGACCUUUAGUUUUAGGUGUAGAGAAGGCCUUUGUUUCCAGUCACUAUGAAGAAGCAGAAAUUUGGCUAAUAGGGCCCCAACAAUUCUAAAUGAUGACAAAUUAGUCAUGUGGCGUUCAGGUUAAGAAAUGAGUAAGUUUGGGUCAGCAUUUAUUGUCACUGAACACAGUCAUGCAUCCCUAGUCAGAAUGUUCUGAGUUGUGUAACUAGAACAGAGUGGCUAUUGCAGAAGCAGUGAAUACAAAUACAUGUUUAUCUCUUCAAUGUGACCAUUUUAAUGGAUACUCCUAAACAAGCACUUGAAUAGAUACUUGCUCGCACCACUGUCUGGGGAGCAGGCACUCUUCAGAUCCUUGUUUUGUGUGCAAAAUUAAUGCUUAUACCCAUGUGCAGGGGAAAAUAUUUACUAUUCAUCCUUACUUAUUCUCCUGUUUUUGAAAUGUUACUCUUCCAAUUGAGAGAGAGAAACAACACUGUCAUGUAGACUACCAGUCAUACCCUGCAAAUGGUGCUGAAGAGACUAGUUUGAGUUUAUAAUCUGUCCAGACUCCUUUUGUUCAAUAUUUGUGGAGCACAAAUAGAUUCACAGAAAUCAGGAUGAAUGUGCAUACAAUUCAGAACUUGUGCACAAAAAUCCAGCUUCAGUAGUACAGCUGGUCAUGUUUUCAUUGAAGAUGAGAGGAGAAUGUCUGAAAGGUGUAAGUAAUGCACAUGCUUUGGUAAAAGUUUUAACUGGAGAAGAGGCACCUUAUUUACCACUUAACUGGUGUCCAUUAUCGCUCUACUGCUAACUGAAUUAAAUAGUAGGAUUCUGAUGUUUAGUAAUGAAGAGCACUAGGAAUAGAAAACCAAUAGUUUACUUUGGCACUUUUGGUGUCUAUCCUAUACCCUAAAACUGAAUUCAAGUCACUUGUAUAUCACCAGCUUUAACACACCAAAUAAGCCAGACCCCACCUUGAAAAUACCAGAUCCUAGAAGCAAAGGAACAGAAAAAACAAGGUGCAAACUGGCAUCCAGCUGAACAAAGGCAUUCUGACUAAAGACUUUUGUUUGUUCUCCAAUAUUCUUAAUUCAGAGCCUGUGUGUCAGCUUUCAUAGCAGGAAAACCCUGCAGUUGAGUAAUUGUGCAUGAUUUCCAAUUCUCCACACAGCUGCUUCAUUGGAAAAUGUCAGAACCCACAAAUGCAUUUAUAAAUAGCACCAGCACUGAAAGAACACUUUUACUAUAUGUAUUAGACCAUACACUUGUAACCUGGCACUGCUUCCAUCUACAGGGUAAUAAUCAAAUUUUGUUUUGCAAUUCUAGCACAUCUUGGAUAACGUUUUCUGAACAGCUACCAUACUUGUGGCAGGUACUUGAAACAUGAACUUUGGGAACCUGGGCAUUUCCCAAACAGAAGAGAAUUCACUGCAAUCUAAAGGCUUUUUAAUUUUUUUUCUGAAGGAGCUAAAAUACUUAAGUGAAGGCUAAUGGAACUUACAGGAUCUAUUCCACCCCAGGUGGGAAGAGAUCAGGCCCAUUGACUUCACACAGGUCUAAGCUCAGAAACUUGCAUGCAGACAUUCUGAGGUGGUCAGGGAAAAUGCUAACAAUUAUUCUGAAAUAUGAAAGGUGUGUGCAUGCAUACACAUUCCCAGAGCAUUAUUCCAUAGACUCCCCAUUUAUUUCAAGAUCUAGUUUUAAGAUGUCCUAUUUUUUUAAACAUUCUCAGCUUGUUCCAGCCCAACAGGUUUCACUGCCCCUCAUUGCUCCACUUCCAGUUGUCCAACACUAAGUUCCUUUCUGUAACUCCAAUAGUUGUACAGCUGUUGAUGCAAAAGCAUUGGCCUCAGCUUUUCCAUAGUCAGGAACUGCAAUCUUCCCUCUACACUACAAAGAUUCUCUGCUUGAUUGAAAUGUCACCUGAAAACAUAGCCAUUGUAUAGGCAAGGGAGAAGUUCUAAAUGUCUUUCUUUUGGCUAUUAGUUGUUUGGGAUACAGUGCAUAGGAAAGAUGCUAUUAAAAACUGAACUGUGGUAUAAUGGAGAGGAGAGCUGUUAGGCUUGUGAGCUAUAAGGAAUGGUAUGGGCAAAAUGAGCUUCCUUGUCCUGAGAAGCAAUGAAGGCCAGUGACACCUAAAAGGGCAGGCAAAACUAACUCUUGCAAAGGUUGGUUUUUAGUCAAUCUACAAUAGGAGACUCUCU